ACGGGUGAGUAAUGCGUAGGGAUCUGCCUUGUAGAGGGGGAUAACCCGGGGAAACUCGGGCUAAUACCGCAUGAGGUUGAGAGACGAAAGGAGGGGACCUUCGGGCCUUCCGCUAUGAGAGGAACCUACGUCCGAUUAGCUAGUUGGUGGGGUAAUAGCUUACCAAGGCGAUAAUCGGUAGCUGGUCUGAGAGGAUGACCAGCCACACUGGGACUGAGACACGGCCCAGACUCCUACGGGAGGCAGCAGUGGGGAAUAUUGGACAAUGGGGGCAACCCUGAUCCAGCGAUGCCGCGUGUGUGAAGAAGGCCUGAGGGUUGUAAAGCACUUUAGUGGGGGAGGAGUAGUAACGGGUGAAUAACCUGUUAUGAGGACGUUACCCUAAGAAUAAGCACCGGCAAACUCUGUGCCAGCAGCCGCGGUAAUACAGAGGGUGCAAGCGUUAAUCGGAAUGACUGGGCGUAAAGGGUACGUAGGUGGAAGAUUAAGAAUCAUGUGAAAGUCCUGGGCUCAACCUGGGGAUGGCAUGGUUGACUGGUUUUCUGGAGUGCAGUAGAGGUAAGGGGAAUUUCCGGU
rnacentral:rRNA from 1 species